rnacentral:rRNA from 1 species
UACAGGGGGUGCAAACGUUGCUCGGAAUCAUUGGGCGUAAAGCGCACGUAGGCGGUUCGUUAUGUCGGAUGUGAAAGCCCCUUGGCUUAACCGAGGAAGUGCAUCCGAAACUGGCGAGCUAGAGUACGAAAAGAGGAUCGCGGAAUUCCCCGGUGUAGUGGUGAAAAUGCGUAGAUAUCAAGCGGAACACCGGUGGCGAAGGCGGCCUUCUGGACAGUGACUGACGCUUGAGACGCGAAAAGCGUGGGGGGAGCAAA